AUGGUAGAGCAGCAGGGCAGGGAGGUGGUAAGGCUGGGGGAGUGGCGAGGUGGGGACGUUGGCAAGCGGCCCAAGGAGCCUGGAGGGCAGGGCGUCCUCAGGGCAGUGGGGGCCCGGCAGGGCCCCCGGGAAGGGGUGGUGGAGCCUGUCAGUGUUCGCACCUCGAGAGCUUCAGGUGUCGCCAGGGGAGCAGCUGGAGGGGCGGGAAGCGGCGGGCAGGAGGGGCCAGUCCGAGCAGUGAGGGCACGAGGGCACCUGGGCGGCCGGCGCUGCGGGCCGCGGGGCGGUGCCUCCCGAGGACGAGGAGCCCAGCCAGCACCCCCAGGCCUUAGAGGAAUCCAGGCCACGCGGGCAAGUCGUGUAACUUCUCUGGGACUCGGUUUCCCCGCUUGUGAAGUGGGUACAAGAAUGUCUAAUCUGGCAGGCUGCGGUACUGGAUGUUGGAGCGGGCGCCCGGGGCCAGGAACCCGGGCUCUGCGCUGUUGGACACGUCCAGGCUUGUCUUGCGUCCGUUCACCGGCUUCACAGGGAUGCCUGAGGACUUCUGGGCCUUGCCGAGCGUGGCCGAGCCCCCGGUCUGCACGACGGUAGCCGUGCCCGUGGCAGGAGGGGGCUUCUUGUAGCCGAAGGACCCUGACGUGGACGGGCGUGCGAUGCCCGAGGGAGGCUUCUUGGCAUCGCCCAGGCGGUCACGGCCGGCAUCCGAGGAGGAGCGCUGCAGGCCUGCGCUCUUCACAGCCAGCUUGGCCUUGUCGGAGGCCUUGCCCUCGGGUUUGCCUGUGGAGGGCGGGCGCUAUGAGCAGGGGAGAGCCAGCGUCUGCCCCCCAGGAGGAGGGGCACCGUGGGGUGGAGCGCCUAACUAGGGGCGAUUGGGGACCCAUGGGCCUAGAACCCUUCUGGGCAGGCCUUGCGUCCAGCUGUUCAAUUUCUCUUGUGUUUUGGUGUUUUCUGCUCCCAGGCUAGGAGGUCCCAGCUUGGCUGAAAUCACAAGAUGAUCAGGAAGGGCACACAUCUAACAGCCGGCCACCAAGGGCCCGCCCCAGGAGCAGCAGCACUCUGAUGCCGCCAGUGUCUCCCGGGACGCCACACGGGCCCCCAGGAGGUGUGAGGACAUCGCCCGAGAGCCCAGGCGAGGAAAGGAAUCACUGGGCAGUGUGGGAGGUGGGUCAGACCAGGUUCCCUCCUGCCCUGCGUCUGGGCUCAGCCUUCUAUGCAGGUGGAGCCCUAUGCCCGCAUCUGUCUGCCUUCCCUGACUCAGGACGGUCUGGAGACCUGCUGGGUGGCGUGCGGAAGCUGCGCGCAGGCUGCCCCCCGCCCAGGGGUUAAGGGCCAGAGGACCGGAGCCACCAGGGGAGCAGGCCGCGGCCCUGGGCCCUGUGCCUGGGCUCACCUGCGACCUUGAGGGCACUCUGGGCCGUGUGGGUGAUGGGCGAGGCGAUGGGCCCCCGGGGGGGGGCCCCCCCCCCU
rnacentral:lncRNA from 1 species